GUGAAAUUUCUCCACGGACCGGUGCCGGUCCGCCGGACCAGCGGUUGAGAAACGCUGCAUCUGUCGUUAUAGUGAAUGUAGACCUACUAUGUGUGCAGCUGGUCCCUGCUAAAAUAGGAAGAACUCCAUUAAAAAAAAAUUCCUCUUAAGAUGACGUGACGCUUACAAGGACAUUAAUGUUCACGAAAGCAGAUACGAUAGUUAAAAUAUGACCUUCCUUUUGCAAAUUUCAAUGAAAUUGCAGAGAAUUCUGAUACUACUAUAUAUGAAAUUAUUAAAUCACAACAGCCAAAUUUUAAAUAAUCAAAAUCGUUAUCUAGUGGACUUUAGAACAAUAAAAACAUAGAUAAGUUGAGAUCAUUUUAAUAAUAAAAACUAUAUAAAUAAUAGUGAUAAAGCAGUAAGUAUCAUACAUUCUCUAAAGUUUUUUUUGGGUGGACGAUUUAAUUGUAAACUUGUCUGCUUGAAGAGUGGGCUCGAUCGAUAGAGGCCCUGACAGGUUGUAAAUGUUGAACUCAUAUUUUAUGCAAUUUGAGAACACUAGUCUAAAAAAGUCAAGUUUAAAGUACGUAAUUUCAGUUUGUAUCAUUUAUAGACCUAUUAUAUUUCCAAUAAUAGUUUUAAUUUUUGUUUUUGUAGUUCUGCUUGAACUAAAAAUAAUUUUAAUUUAUACAAUUGAGGAUUCAAAAAUUAAAAACAGCCUGUUUUACUGUCAGGAGUUUAUUGACACUGUCGGUUUAUGGGUAUAUAACUUAUGAAGUGCGAUAUGCACUAUGUAAGCCUACACUAUACACAAGAGGUUGCUGUCCUUGAAUAUUCGAGUAUAUUAUAAAAAAUUUACAUUUCGUUUCAAUAACACAUUAAAUUACUGUUUCUAUUUUUAAUUAAAUUCAAAUAUAGCAAUGAUUUUAUAAACACAUCCUUUCAAAUUCGAAUUAUUUUAUCAAACUUAGUGGUGACAAAUCAUGUAAUAUUCCAUCAUACCGAAAGACACCAUAUAUAAUUUUUUUCCUGUUUUAUAAUCCAACUUCCUUAUAUUUUUCUUGUUCAACUCGUUAAUGACUCUACUA
rnacentral:lncRNA from 1 species